CGGUCGUUAGCUCAGUUGGUAGAGCAGUUGACUUUUAAUCAAUUGGUCGCAGUCGAAUCUGCACGACCCACCA
rnacentral:tRNA from 1 species